rnacentral:rRNA from 1 species
UACGUAGGGUGCAAGCGUUGUCCGGAAUUAUUGGGCGUAAAGAGCUCGUAGGCGGUCUGUUGCGUCAGGAGUGAAAACUCGGGGCUUAACCCCGAGCCUGCUUCUGAUACGGGCAGACUAGAGGUAUGCAGGGGAGAACGGAAUUCCUGGUGUAGCGGUGAAAUGCGCAGAUAUCAGGAGGAACACCAACGGCGAAGGCAGCACUCUGGGCUGGAACUGACGCUGAGGAGCGAAAGCGUGGGUAGCAAACAGG